UACAGAGGGUGCGCGCGUUAAACGGAAUUACUGGGCGUAAAGCGCACGUAGGUGGCGACGUAAGUCGGGUGUGAAAGCCCCGGGCUCAACCUGGGAACUGCAUUCGAGACUGCAUUGCUGGAGUACGGAAGAGGAGGGCGGAAUUCCCGGUGUAGCGGUGAAAUGCGUAGAUAUCGGGAGGAACAUCAGUGGCGAAGGCGGCCCUCUGGUCCAGUACUGACACUCAAGUGCGAAAGCGUGGGGAGCAAACAGG
rnacentral:rRNA from 1 species